rnacentral:rRNA from 1 species
AGUGAACGCUGGCGGUAGGCCUAACACAUGCAAGUCGAACGGCAGCACAGUAAGAGCUUGCUCUUACGGGUGGCGAGUGGCGGACGGGUGAGGAAUACAUCGGAAUCUACUUUUUCGUGGGGGAUAACGUAGGGAAACUUACGCUAAUACCGCAUACGACCUACGGGUGAAAGCAGGGGAUCUUCGGACCUUGCGCGAUUGAAUGAGCCGAUGUCGGAUUAGCUAGUUGGCGGGGUAAAGGCCCACCAAGGCGACGAUCCGUAGCUGGUCUGAGAGGAUGAUAGGCCACACUGGACCUGAGACACGGUCCAGACUCCUACGGGAGGCAGCAGUGGGGAAUAUUGGACAAUGGGCGCAAGCCUGAUCCAGCCCUACCGCGUGGGUGAAGAAGGCCUUCGGGUUGUAAAGCCCUUUUGUUGGGAAAGAAAAGCAGCAGGUUAAUACCCCGCUGUUCUGACGGUACCCAAAGAAUAAGCACCGGCUAACUUCGUG